rnacentral:tRNA from 1 species
GCCAGGCUGGCUCAAUUGGUAGAGCAUGGGACUCUUAAUCUCAGGGUCAUGGGUUAGUGCCCUACAUCGGGUG